rnacentral:sRNA from 1 species
UCCGUCGAAAUGGUGCGGUAGGCCCACAC